CAUCUUUCUCGUCUAUUCAAUUUUGUUUGUUUUUUACUCUCCCCCUUGGAUCAAAUGAAAAUCCAUCGAGCGUCGCAAAAACAACAACAACAAGGGUUCUGGAAAGGAAAACAAAAAGGAUGGGGUCCAUCCCAUUUGAAUCUCUUUUAUGUUCCCCCCUCGCUUUUUGGCUUUUAUUGGGAAUGUUAUUAUUUUUUGAAAAGAGCCCGUGAUCCAAUAUCUCGGGGUCUUUGGCAAAUCCUGCGAUACCAUACACAAAGUUCCCCGGUCGAAAAAAAAGAGCCGGGCGGAAUGAAAAAUCAAGUCAAAACACUCUGGCACAGGAGGCAAACAACAAUUCAUAAUUGUAAAAAGAAAACGGAAAAAAGGAAUCUCGAACGGUAUUCAAUACAAUUGGAAGACGUUGCGUCAAGUGUAUUAAGUAGAAGAAGACAUGCCAAGAGUCGUAUAAUAACUAGGAAUAAAAGGAAACUUUUUCUUAUUUGAUUCAACCACCUAUACACCCCCACGAAGCCGACAGAGUCUCAUCCGGAGUAAGCCAAGCCUAAACUUUUUUCUUUCUUCUUUCAUCCCACACCGGAAAUAACGUGAUGAUGAUUCCAUAUCCAGAGCCGGAGAGAUGUUUUUUGUGCACUGUAGCGCGGUGCUCUUGUGUGAUAAUGAAUGUCGUCACGGAUUUUUACACGAUGGUUUCAGCUUGUAGGCGAGGGAGUCUCUCUAUCCAUAACAACCAAGGCCAUAUACAACAGCGAUGAGAUUUGAAGCUCCUCACGAUCUCACGACGUAACGGUCGUGACCUAUUCGUGACUCACUUGUGACUAUAUCCUCCCCUCAUCUUAACUCUGCUGUAAUAGGUUCCCUCUUUUUGUGCCUGCGUGAAAUGUUGGCCCCGGUCCAGCACUCGACGCCAUCUUCCUUCCCUUUUUUGCUGCCGCCUAUUUGUGUGUGUGCCUUGUUAUUGGGCGAUGGAUAUAAGAGAGAGGAAAGUCGUGGAUGUCUGGCCUGCCCAGUCUUUGUCGUUUAUAUCUAUAUCUUGUCCCCUCCACCGAAAAAUGUCUGAGUGGCAAUGGAAUGGAGCCAGCAGCAGCCUCCAGUUUCUUGCCUCCCAUAUCCUUCCAAGGUGAAAGACGCAGGGGGGACCACAAAAACAUUUUUCCAGCGACAUGUUUCUCCUUGCUUUUUGUUUUUGCCCAGGAAGCACACAAAACAACAACCAAAGAGAGUGGAAAUGGGUUUCCCCUGUCGUUUAACACGCUGUUAUACAGUUUGUCAGCUUGGUGUCCCUCGUGUCUACUCUGCGCACUUAAGUAAUAGAGAGAUCUCUCGGAAGAAAAAUAUGGCCAGCCAGCAGAGGAUCGUGUUACUUGGGAGUUGGGACCUCAAAAGCAUUUGCCCCCGAUUUCUAAAUGGCUGUUCUUUUCUUUCCUCAGUAGAAAACGCUUAGGAAACUAAUGGAGGAAGCAAAUGAUUAUUGCCGGUAGUUAUUAACUGGCAUUAGCAAUCAACUCGUAAUGGCGUAUUAUUGUAUUUAGGUUAAUUCGCGGUACUCAUUUCAAAAUUUCAAGCAGUUAAGUUUGUUAAAUUGACCGCCAGAUGGUGUUGGGCUUUACCUGUUCUUUUUUUUUCUUUUACCUUUUCUCCCCCCCUCCCAACCUGCCGGCAGGUAUUAAAGUUUUGUUGGUAAGAAAUCACCUUGUGUUUGUGGACGGUCUGUGUGCGGUUGGCAUUCUUUUCCCUCUUCUUUGCCGGUGGUUUCAUCAAGGUUUAGCCCGAUUUCCACCUCUAUUCGUUGCGCGCGUCUGGACUUACGACGAAGCCAAGGGGGAAGGGGGGGGGAGGUUUUUUCUUCUUCUUCUCCAUUUUCAAAAAAAAAAGAAAAAUCCAAAAGGCAAACGAGAAAAUGUAUCCAGUGAAAUAUUUGGCAGCUUCACUGUAAGCCGUGUGGUGGUUGGGUUCUUCUCGCGUCUCUUCUUCUUCUUCUUCCUGGGCCCCUCAGCGUUCCAUCCACCACCAGGUGUGUGUCCUCCACCUGAUCUUUGUGUGUGUGUGUGUGUGUGUAGUGCGUGUGUGUUUGUGUCUGCCUCUCAUUCCGACUCGAGGUGUGGUGUGUUUCACACAACGAAACUAUUUGAUUCUGGAUUUCCAAAAGUGAGUGAAGACAUUUUCUUUUUUCCUCCGUUGUUUCGAAAGUUUGGGUGGCCCCUUUCGAAAAAAAAAAGAAAAGGGUUUAGUUUGGACGUCAUAUUAGCCGUCGAAAUAUCGAGAAAUUAGUGCUGGCUCCAACAGUGUCACGGGAGAACUCGUGUGUGAGUCGUCUUCGAAAAUAUUUUCAAAUUAACUUAAAAGUUUGAACUCCGCCCGGAAGGAUUUGUGAUUCAAUGACGGAAAUUUCUUGACGAAAGAAAUCGAAUUGUGAGAGAGAAAUGGCGGAAUCAGCCGUCCGUCGAAUGACAAAACGUUUCUCUCAUUCAGAUUUGUGUUGAUUGAAAGAAACGCUGAAAUUCGCUGAACAAAAAAAUACGUCCCUGUUGUGCUGCCGAGCGAGAAAAUUGUGCUUAUUUCGUUUGUCCACGUUGGGUACACAUUCAAUCAAGUCUCUGUAUUUGCGCAGACACACACACUUGGGCCGCUUUUUUAUUAUUAAAAACUUGAGCGAAG
rnacentral:lncRNA from 1 species